AAAGAAAUGUCUAUUAUUGCAGAAGUUUAGAUCACAGUAUAGAGGAAUUAAUUAGAAAGUUUAAGCUACAGAGACGUAUCAAACCAUGUUUACGAGAGUGUAGCUUUGACGAAAACAACCAUUGAAUGAUAUGCAUCAUUACGUACAACCGUCACUCUGUCACUGGCAUAAAACAAUUAGAACGUCAAGAGGCGAAAUAGAACAAUAUAAUUUUUCUUAUUAUUACUCUUAAUACGGUUUAUUAAGAGGAGAUUUUUUUGUAUGUUACGUAACACGCGCUUAAAACUAAUGCUUAUAAUAUACCACUUGAGGUUAUGACUAAAUUCAAAAUUUUUAUUUUUCGACACGUUUCUCAAUCCGCAAACAAACUUAAAAAGUAUGUCUAGUGCUUUAUCUGUAAAAUAAUGCUAAAAUGAAGAGAUUUUAGAUGAUACGCCAAAGAAAAGAUGAUGUCUGAAGUUCAGUAAGUUUUGCUUAUAUGGCUGUAAAUAUUGCGUCAAUUUUGAAGCAUCAUUGAUAAUUGUAUUUUAAUUGGCAAUUUUUAACUAUUAUUUUAUGUUUCUCAACCGGUAGAUGCAUUUAAAAAGGUAGCUAACUCUAUAAAUUAGAGAAUAAAGCUAAAAUAAAGUAAUUUUGAGAGGAACGCCAAAAAGAUUUUCGGUUUUAAACACUUUUCAUUGCAAAUACGUGACAUUGAAAAAAAUUGCCUCUUACGUAUAUAAAAUUGCACCAAGGUGAAAUACUUUUUAUUUACGAAACGCUUUAUACUCCAUGAAGAUAGAGUGUAAAAAUUGCACAUGCACUAUUAAAAGUUGAAAGGUUCAAAUAGAUAUAAUUAAUAUUAUAAAUAUAUAAUAUUAUAAAUAUUUAUAAUCAGUCAUGUGUGGAAUAAACUCCCACAAAACAUUAAAUGUGCAACAACAGUCAGCCAUUUUAAGGCAAUGUUAAAAAGCUUGGUGCUAAAGGACAUUAAGAAAGGCUGCACUUGUAAUAGAUGUCUAUCUUAAACUAUACGUACUUUUGAACUAUUCUUAUGUUAUAGCUAUCUAUUAAUAAUUCUAGUAUCCUAAGGUUUUUGUAUAUAUGUA